GACGAACGCUGGCGGCGUGCCUAAUACAUGCAAGUCGAACGAGAGCGACCGGUGCUUGCACUGGUCAAUCUAGUGGCGAACGGGUGAGUAACACGUGGGUAACCUGCCCAUCAGAGGGGGAUAACAUUCGGAAACGGAUGCUAAAACCGCAUAGGUCUUCGAACCGCAUGGUUUGAAGAGGAAAAGAGGCGCACGCUUCUGCUGAUGGAUGGACCCGCGGUGCAUUAGCUAGUUGGUGAGGUAACGGCUCACCAAGGCCGUGAUGCAUAGCCGACCUGAGAGGGUGAUCGGCCACAUUGGGACUGAGACACGGCCCAAACUCCUACGGGAGGCAGCAGUAGGAAAUCUUCCGCAAUGGACGCAAGUCUGACGGAGCAACGCCGCGUGAGUGAAGAAGGUUUUCGGAUCGUAAAACUCUGUUGUUAGAGAAGAACAAGUGCUAGAGUAACUGUUAGCGCCUUGACGGUAUCUAACCAGAAAGCCACGGCUAACUACGUG
rnacentral:rRNA from 1 species